rnacentral:rRNA from 1 species
GACGAACGCUGGCGGCGUGCUUAACACAUGCAAGUCGAACGGUGAAGCGCCUUCCUUUUUGGUGGGUGUGGAUGAGUGGCGAACGGGUGAUUAACACGUGAGUAACCUGCCCCCUUCUUCUGGAUAACCGCAUGAAAGUGUGGCUAAUACGGGAUAUUCUGGGUCUGUCGCAUGAUGGGUCUGGGAAAGAUAUUGUUUCGGUGGGGGAUGGGCUCGCGGCCUAUCAGCUUGUUGGUGGGGUGAUGGCCUACCAAGGCGGUGACGGGUAGCCGGCCUGAGAGGGUGGACGGACACACUGGGACUGAGACACGGCCCAGACUCCUACGGGAGGCAGCAGUGGGGAAUAGUGCACAAUGGGCGCAAGCCUGAUGCAGCGACGCCGCGUGAGGGAUGGAGGCCUUCGGGUUGUGAACCUCUUUCGCCAGUGAAGCAGGCCUGCCUCGUUUGUGGGUGGGUUGACGGUAGCUGGAUAAGAAGCGCCGGCUAACUACGUG